rnacentral:rRNA from 1 species
AGUGAACGCUGGCGGUAGGCCUAACACAUGCAAGUCGAACGGCAGCACAGUAAGAGCUUGCUCUUACGGGUGGCGAGUGGCGGACGGGUGAGGAAUACAUCGGAAUCUACUUUUUCGUGGGGGAUAACGUAGGGAAACUUACGCUACUACCGCAUACGACCUACGGGUGAAAGCAGGGGAUCUUCGGACCUUGCGCGAUUGAAUGAGCCGAUGUCGGAUUAGCUAGUUGGCGGGGUAAAGGCCCACCAAGGCGACGAUCCGUAGCUGGUCUGAGAGGAUGAUCAGCCACACUGGAACUGAGACACGGUCCAGACUCCUACGGGAGGCAGCAGUGGGGAAUAUUGGACAAAGGGCGCAAGCCUGAUCCAGCCAUACCGCGUGGGUGAAGAAGGCCUUCGGGUUGUAAAGCCCUUUUGUUGGGAAAGAAAAGCAGCAGGUUAAUACCCCGCUGUUCUGACGGUACCCAAAGAAUAAGCACCGGCUAACUUCGUG